rnacentral:rRNA from 1 species
GUCUAUGGCCAUGUUACCCUGAACAAGCCCAAUCCCAUCUGAUCUCGGAAGGUAAGCAGGGUCAGGCCUGGUUAGUACUUGGAUGAGAGACCACCUAAGAAGACCCAGAUGCUGUAAGCA